UCCUACGGGAGGCAGCAGUGGGGAAUAUUGGACAAUGGGCGCAAGCCUGAUCCAGCCAUACCGCGUGGGUGAAGAAGGCCUUCGGGUUGUAAAGCCCUUUUGUUGGGAAAGAAAUCCUGUCGAUUAAUACUCGGUGGGGAUGACGGUACCCAAAGAAUAAGCACCGGCUAACUUCGUGCCAGCAGCCGCGGUAAUACGAAGGGUGCAAGCGUUACUCGGAAUUACUGGGCGUAAAGCGUGCGUAGGUGGUGGUUUAAGUCUGCUGUGAAAGCCCUGGGCUCAACCUGGGAAUUGCAGUGGAUACUGGAUCACUAGAGUGUGGUAGAGGGAUGCGGAAUUUCUGGUGUAGCAGUGAAAUGCGUAGAGAUCAGAAGGAACAUCCGUGGCGAAGGCGGCAUCCUGGGCCAACACUGACACUGAGGCACGAAAGCGUGGGGAGCAAACAGGAUUAGAUACCCUGGUAGUCCACGCCCUAAACGAUGCGAACUGGAUGUUGGGUGCAACUUGGCACCCAGUAUCGAAGCUAACGCGUUAAGUUCGCCGCCUGG
rnacentral:rRNA from 1 species